AAUAUCCUUCAAAAGAUUGAGAGAUGACAGACCAGAUGGCAGUCCCGUUGGAAGUGAUCUAAGAAGCUCUGGUAUCACCACUCCUGCCCUGGUUCCACAUCUGCACAUUAACUCAAUGUGGUUGCUUGAAUCUGUGGAAGCGGGACCUUGGCUACUGUGGGAACACUGUUUUCUAAAAGGGAAUUGAGCAUCUCUGGAUUCUGGUAUUCAAGCAGGUGGCACACUCAAAUUACUCUGGCUUUGAGAUUUCAGAACUUUGAAAUAUUUCCAAUGGAAGGCAAACUCUUUUUGGCAGGGAUCAAGUUUGCCAUGUUUAUGUCCCUAGCAUUUACUAGAAUGCCU
ensembl:lncRNA